rnacentral:rRNA from 1 species
GAGACAGCAGUCGCCGCGGUAAUACGUAGGGUGCAAGCGUUAAUCGGAAUUACUGGGCGUAAAGCGUGCGCAGGCGGUUAUAUAAGACAGAUGUGAAAUCCCCGGGCUCAACCUGGGAACUGCAUUUGUGACUGUAUAGCUAGAGUACGGCAGAGGGGGAUGGAAUUCCGCGUGUAGCAGUGAAAUGCGUAGAUAUGCGGAGGAACACCGAUGGCGAAGGCAAUCCCCUGGGCCUGUACUGACGCUCAUGCACGAAAGCGUGGGGAGCAAACAGGAUUAGAUACCCCUGUAGUCCCUGUCUCUUAUAC